CAUUUCUGCUCUAGCUAUUGCUUCUGUGAGUGAUUUGAUCUUUGCUUGGCGUUCUUUUUUUAUACGUGCACCCCACUUAAUCAGUAUGCCUCGGGUGAUACCUUUGUGUGCCUCCCAUACCCAGGUGUCUGCGGUGUCUUUGUUUUUGUUUUCUAGAAAGUAUCUAGGGAGGGAAUUAUUGAGAUCAUCAGUCACUCUUGGGUCGUCCAGUAGCGAUUCAUUUAACC